UGGCUCAGGAUGAACGCUAGCUACAGGCUUAACACAUGCAAGUCGAGGGGAAACGAUAGAGAAAGCUUGCUUUUUCUAGGCGUCGACCGGCGCACGGGUGAGUAACGCGUAUCCAACCUGCCCACCACUUGGGGAUAACCUUGCGAAAGUAAGACUAAUACCCAAUGAUAUCUCAAGAAGACAUCUGAAUGAGAUUAAAGAUUUAUCGGUGAUGGAUGGGGAUGCGUCUGAUUAGCUUGUUGGCGGGGUAACGGCCCACCAAGGCGACGAUCAGUAGGGGUUCUGAGAGGAAGGUCCCCCACAUUGGAACUGAGACACGGUCCAAACUCCUACGGGAGGCAGCAGUGAGGAAUAUUGGUCAAUGGGCGAGAGCCUGAACCAGCCAAGUAGCGUGCAGGAUGACGGCCCUAUGGGUUGUAAACUGCUUUUAUAAGGGAAUAAAGUGAGCCUCGUGAGGCUUUUUGCAUGUACCUUAUGAAUAAGGACCGGCUAAUUCCGUGCCAGCAGCCGCGGUAAUACGGAAGGUCCGGGCGUUAUCCGGAUUUAUUGGGUUUAAAGGGAGCGUAGGCCGGAGAUUAAGCGUGUUGUGAAAUGUAGACGCUCAACGUCUGCACUGCAGCGCGAACUGGUUUCCUUGAGUACGCACAAAGUGGGCGGAAUUCGUGGUGUAGCGGUGAAAUGCUUAGAUAUCACGAAGAACUCCGAUUGCGAAGGCAGCUCACUGGAGCGCAACUGACGCUGAGGCUCGAAAGUGCGGGUAUCGAACAGGAUUAGAUACCCUGGUAGUCCGCACGGUAAACGAUGGAUGCCCGCUGUUGGUCUGAAUAGGUCAGCGGCCAAGCGAAAGCAUUAAGCAUCCCACCUGGGGAGUACGCCGGCAACGGUGAAACUCAAAGGAAUUGACGGAA
rnacentral:rRNA from 1 species